CAGUACUAAGAUUCAUACCUUAUCAUUUUUCACCGAUAGAGAAGAUUGGCAUGGCCCCUGCGCAAGGAUGUCAUGCAAGUUUGUGAAGCAUUCCAUAUUAAA